rnacentral:rRNA from 1 species
AUGGACAAGCGACCGCUUCUUCCCGGAGAAAAGAUGCCUCCCGUCUCCCCUCCCUCUCCGCCUACGCCUCCGUCUCCGGCGCGCACUGGGGACAGUUCUCGUUCCACUUCCAACCGCCAAGAAUCGGCGCCUCCGCCUCUGGCGCGCAUUGGGGAUGGUUCGUCCUCCGAACGCCAACAAUCAGGGGCAAAGAGGGAGGCGCAGAAUAAGGCGGGAGAUGCGAAGGCGCACAUCAGGAGGUUCUUGCCGAUUCCAAGCCUCCUACCCUUCUUCAAGAAAGCGGACUCCACGAGCCCAUCCAGCAGCGGCGACAAGACGGCGGCGGCAUCGAGCAACCCCAAGACGUACAACGACGCUGAGUUCGCGGGGAUGAUUGAGCGUCUGGAAGACUUCUCCCGCUGCAUUGGAGGCAGUUCGAGGAUUGCCGAUCCCCUGGCCCGUCUGGCCACGGCGGUCCGCUCACUCGCCAGCGUCGAGCGCGCCGACCCCAAGGCGACAAGCGCGGCGCAGUUCGACGUGCUGCUAGGAGUUGCUGCUCUAACCAUGGCUGCCUCCGGCCACAAAGUCAACGAGGUGGACGGCACCACGGCCAAGAAGCUAGAGUCCGAGGCGGCGGCACUGGCGCGCAAGGCGGGAGAGCUCUCCAUCUCCGGGCAACGUCGCCAUGGCCAAGAAGGAUCGUAUCUUUAUGCCAUCUCAAUCUCGGGCUCGCUGGCGCUUCUGCCCUACCUUCCGACUCAAAUUCCGGCGUCGCUCCAACCCAUCGUCGGCUGCGUGUUUGGAGCAGUAUUCUCCGCAGCUUCGGUGGGGGCUAUACUUACCUUGACGGCGACGAAGAACUCGGACGUGACGGCCGGUGGUGUUCUGGAUAAGGUCAGCUUCGCGGCAUUUUCGCUAUUGGUGGUCGCAUUUGUGUUCUCUGCUUUGGCAUCAGGAAAUGUUGUCCUGAUGGUCGUCCUGAUGCUCAUUUGCGCCGUGAUCAUGGUUCUCGGCCAUGUCUAUGCCUGGAGUAGGUAG